UACGGGGGGGGCAAGCGUUGUUCGGAAUUACUGGGCGUAAAGGGCUCGUAGGCGGCCAACUAAGUCCGACGUGAAAUCCCCAGGCUUAACUUGGGAACUGCGUCGGAUACUGGAUGGCUUGAAUUCGGGAGAGGGAUGCAGAAUUCCAGGUGUAGCGGUGAAAUGCGUAGAUAUCUGGAGGAACAUCGGUGGCGAAGGCGGCAUCCUGGACCGGUAUUGACGCUGAGGCGCGAAAGCCAGGGGAGCAAACGGG
rnacentral:rRNA from 1 species